GGGUGUUGCACUCGGGCUCUUUGCCUGAGGUCAGUGGCAAGGGGUCCAGGGGCCGAGAAGAUGGUGAGGUCACAGGGGCUGGAUUCCAGUAAGAAGGCCGUGGAGAUCAGAGCUGGCUGCCCCGGGUGGAAAAUGGGGAAGGGUCAGGCCUGGAGGAUGGAUACCGUGCGCCACACGGCACACAAGCCGCUCGGCAUGAUCAGGGGCCAAAGGUGGGGCCCGCGCGGUGCGCACGGAGCUCAGCGGGGCUGGUGGAACAGUGCACCCCACCCAGCCAGGUGCGCUCAGCCCAGACAAGGACGUUGGGAGCCGCGCGGUUCCGCGGGGCGGGCACAAGGGACGGGGUGCAAGAGCCAGAGCCGGGCCUCUGCGCCCGGCCGCCUCUUCUGGGCAUAAAGUGAGCGCGCGGGCUCCUGGGCGCCACCACGCGGUGCACAGGCGCAAGUGCCCCUUCUCUUGCUUUGCACCGACUGCCUCAUCUCUGCUGGAAAUGGCCCCCAACCGCUCCUGCCCAGCUGGCAAGGAACCCGGGCUCUGGACCUCAGGAGGCCUCUUACUCACCCUGAGGGAGAGGAGGGAGUAUUUUGAGCUUGAGAGGAAGCAGACGCCUUAGAGAGAGAGCAGCUUCUGUGCCUUCUCCCUGGCCAAGGGCCCGCAUCCGGUUGGAGCAUUUGCAUCCUCCCAGUGGUUCCUGUUGGAGAGGCCUGAGGGUCCAGGUUGUCCUGCUCCACAUCAUCAGGUGUUGGGGGGGCGGGGGGGGUGAGAGGGCGCUGCUGGCCCAGGACUCUAAGUUGUCCCUGCGGGUUGGAGGCAGCGAACAGUGUGUCUUCUGGGUUGAGGACAGAAGGUCCUGGCCCUCAGACGCAGCCUAACUGAACCGGGUCUGGAGCCGGGGACCAUCCCUGGGGGGUGGCUCCUGCGCCUGCACCGGCUCCUGCAAAUGCAAGGACUGCAAAUGCACCUCCUGCAAGAAGAGUGAAU